rnacentral:rRNA from 1 species
CACGUAGGGCGCAAGCGUUGUCCGGAAUUAUUGGGCGUAAAGAGCUCGUAGGCGGUCUGUUACGUCUGCUGUGAAAACCCAGGGCUUAACCCUGGGCUUGCAGUGGAUACGGGCAGACUAGAGGCAGGUAGGGGAGAAUGGAAUUCCCGGUGUAGCGGUGAAAUGCGCAGAUAUCAGGAGGAACACCGAUGGCGAAGGCAGGUCUCUGGGCCACUACUGACGCUGAGAAGCGAAAGCAUGGGGAGCGAACAGG